GCUCGAGGUCAAAACACAGCUCAUUCAUACAAAUCAAACAGUGACACUGGCUAUAUGUCUGCUUUCUUUUUUAUAGCAAUAAAAGCAUAGAGACAUAUAAAGCAAAGACAACUAUAAGAUAAUCCUUCAGGAGCCAGUAAAACAUCUACAGUUACAGCAGUAAACAUACUUGUUAUGGGUGCAAAUAAGGAGACUUAGACAUGUCUCUGUGAAACUGACAAUCUCAGGUAGGAGCUGCUGGUUUGUGGUUGGCAGUAUGGAUCACGGUCUGCGACUCAUGAGGAUCUGGUCUGGAGACAUGAAGAGGUUGUCAACAGGCCAUCCAUCCAAGAUCAUCUAUCUGAGCUGCUGAAAACUGCCUCGGUACGGAUCUGUUGGAGCUUUGUGUCACUGACUGUAUUUCUGCAAAUUCCUGUUUCGUGUCACAUUGCUUAUGCAAGACUGAAUCCAUAAAGGUGAUGGUCUGUGGAGACUGUGGGCGAUUCCUUCUGCUGUCAUUUAAACAUGAGCGGGAGUAAUGACGGGUUUAAAUGGACGCAACUAAUAUUAUGCCAGAGUCUGCUGCUUAUGCUGUAACCAUAAUGCAACCAGGACAACACACCUGGAGUGACUGAGAGCAGGAUGAAGAAAGAAUCGGAUGAGAAAAUGUCAACUGGUGCCCAUGAGGAGACAUAUUGUUCUUGGACCUGCUUUUUCUGUUUAGUAAUAAGUGGUUUUAUGUGGUUACAUAAAAGUAAUUUAAUAUUCAAUCCACAAGCUAAAUUUCCUACAUUUUCUUAAAAGGGUAGUUGACCCAAAAAGGAAAAUUCUGUCAUUUACACAAACAGUUUGGUUACAAACAUUUCUCCCAAUAUCUGCCUUCCUGUUUAUCAGAACAAAGAAAUUUAUGCGGGUUUGUAACAACAUGAGAGUGUGUAAAUGAUGGCAUAAUUUUCAUUUUUGGGUGAAGUACCCCUUUAACAUUUUUAUACCCAGGGGUAGGGGUGUGCAGCGGAGUCAGUAUUUGUAUCUGUAACAGUCUCAAAAUUAUUUGUAUCUGUAUUUGUAUUCGGAUGGAACCGGAAGUGGGCGGGUCUUAAACCGGAAGUUUGUCAUAUUACAUUAAAAUGGCAUUUUAAAUGCAUUUUUGCUUUUUAUUAUAAUUAUAACUUAAAUAACUGUAAAUAUUUAUUAAAAAUAAUAAUACAAAAUUUUAAUCAAAAAGACAAAUAACUUGAUUCUCGUUAGUAAUACUCAUGGAAAGCAAACAACUCAUUUUUAAAGCCUCAUAAAGCUUGUGCUAUGCAUCAUUGUAUUGUAGCAUUAAAAUAACAAAUUUGAAAGCACGUUGACAUAACUGUAGGCUACAUCACCUUUAAAUGUUUAUUGUGCCUGUCAGCACAGUUUCAUGAGACCCAUUCUAUCUAAAUGAGUGCGAUGUUUUCAGAAAAAAUAAGUAGCCUACAUUAAUCCCUAGUCUAGAGAUUUAAAUAUAGUAAUUAAACAUCUAAAAUGAUCGUUAUUUGUAAGUUUUCUAAAAGAGUGAAAUAUAACCUAAUACUACUCAUAUAUCCAUGUCUGACAUCUUGGUUUCAGUUUAAAAACAUGCAGGAAUUUAAAAAUAAAAUGCAGGACUUGCUUGAUGUUUAAAGAGCUAUUAAGGGAGAUAAAGUUCGGGAACUGAUUUAUGUUAAAAAAGUUAUUAAGAUCGACAAACUCGCGCUGACUGACAGAUCCGAAAUGCAACGCAGAGACACGCAAGUGGCGCAGUAUAUGCACAGAAUAGUUCAAAAACAUCUGUUUUAAUAAGAAUUUACGAAAGCAUAGAACAAACUUGCUGAGCUCAUUUUUAUCUAUGUCCAUAUAGCGUUUGCGCGAAUAUAAGGAAUUGUUUAAAAAAAACUCUUAUUAAUCUUCAUCUAAAUAAAUAAAUAAUCAGAUAUUUGUUUAAAUUUUUAAAUAACAAUAUGCUCUAUUAAAAAUCAGUUUUGACUUAGUUCAAAACCAGCAACAUGAUUUAAAACAAUAAUGUAAUUAGAAAUAUUUAAUUCAAAUGUUUCAGUUGUUAUUUGCUUACUUUAUUUUUAUAUUAAUUGCAAUUCAUGUCAUAGUAUUCUUCAGUUUAAAUUUUGCUUUUAAAAUGUUACGUUUUCAUAUUUUUAUUUAUUUACUUUAUUUUAUUUUAUUUUAUUUAUUAUUUUAUUUUAUUUAAUUUAUUUUAUAUUCACCUAGAUUGACAAUAAAGCUUUCUUCGACUAGAAGUAAUUAAAAUAUCAUCUACCAGUGCCACAGAGAUACAGAGUUAUUAACGAAUAUUUUAUUAUCAGAGUGCAGCAUUUUAUCAAGGUUUUUUGGUCUAAUUAAAUAAAAC